CCAAUGGUGCUGUGUUUGGAAUGAGUAUAAUUUAAAAACCUUAACGAGGAACCAUUGGAGGGCAAGUCUGGUGCCAGCAGCCGCGGUAAUUCCAGCUCCAAUAGUGUAUACUAAAGUUGCUGCAGUUAAAAAGCUCGUAGUUGGAUUUCGGUUAAUGAAAAGUCAGUCCACUUAAUAUAUAAGUGCGUACUGACGUUUUAUUUCCUUCUUUUCAGAUAUACAACUUGUUGUGUUCUGAAUCUUUUACUUUGAGAAAAUUAGAGUGUUCAAAGCAGGCGUAACCAAGCCUUUGAAUAUAUUAGCAUGGGAUAAUGGAAUAAGACUUUUUGCCUUAUUUUCGUUGGUUCUUGAGGCUAAAGUAAUGAUUAAUAGGGAUAGUUGGGGUCAUUAGUAUUUAAUUGUCAGAGGUGAAAUUCUAAGAUAUAUUAAAGACUAACUACUGCGAAAGCAUUUGACAAGGAUGUUUUCAUUAAUCAAGAACGAAAGUUGGGGGAUCGAAGAUGAUCAGAUACCGUCGUAGUCUCAACCAUAAACUAUGCCGACCAAGGAUUCGGGGGUGUUAUAUGAAUGACCCUCCGGGCACUUAUAGAGAAAUCAUAAGUAUUUGGGUUCCGGGGGGAGUAUGGUCGCAAGGCUGAAACUUAAAGGAAUUGACGGAAGGGCACCACCAGGAGUGGAAUAUGCGGUUUAAUUUGACCCAACACGGGAAAACUUACCAGGUCCAGACACAGUGAGGAUUGACAGAUUGAGAGCUCUUUCUUGAUUUUGUGGGUGGUGGUGCAUGGCCGUUUCUAGUUGGUGGAGUGAUUUGUCUGGUUAAUUCCGUUAACGAACGAGACCUUAACCUAUUAAAUAGUUACACAUACUUGGGAUUCGUCCUAAUAGUAUGUGGUUAACUUCUUAGAGGGACUCUUCACGUAAAGAGUGAAUGGAAGUUUGAGGCAAAAACAGGUCUGUGAUGCCCUUAGAUGUUCUGGGCUACACGCGUGUUACACUGAUAUAUUCAACAAGCAUUAUAAUUCCUUACCCGAUGGGGUUGGGUAAUCUUUUAAAUGUAUAUCGUGAUGGGGAUAGACCAUUGUAAUUAUUGGUCUUGAACGAGGAAUUCCUAGUAAGUGCAAGUCAUUAGCUUGCGCUGAUUACGUCCCUGCCCUUUGUACACACCGCCCGUCGCUCCUACCGAUGAAUGGUCCGGUGAGGACUCAGGAUGACCGUGGAUUUUGGUAUAAUAUACCAUGCCAUUGUUUGUCAGAAUCUGUUCAAACCUUAUCAU
rnacentral:rRNA from 1 species